UACGAGGGGGGCAAGCGUUGUUCGGAAUUAUUGGGCGUAAAGGGCGCGUAGGCGGUGCAGUAAGUCUGUUGUGAAAUCUCCGGGCUCAACUCGGAGUCUGCAUCAGAAACUGCCGUGCUCGAGUGUGGGAGAGGUGAGUGGAAUUCCCGGUGUAGCGGUGAAAUUCGUAGAUAUCGAGAGGAACACCGGUGGCGAAGGCGGCCUUCUGGACAGUGACUGACGCUGAGACGCGAAAGCGUGGGGAGCAAACAGG
rnacentral:rRNA from 1 species